rnacentral:rRNA from 1 species
GGGCCAGACUCCUACGGGAGGCAGCAGUGAGGAAUAUUGGUCAAUGGGCGAGAGCCUGAACCAGCCAAGUCGCGUGAGGGAUGACGGCCCUACGGGUUGUAAACCUCUUUUGUCGGGGAGCAAAUUCCGCCACGUGUGGCGGAGUCGAGAGUACCCGAAGAAAAAGCAUCGGCUAACUCCGUGCCAGCAGCCGCGGUAAUACGGAGGAUGCGAGCGUUAUCCGGAUUUAUUGGGUUUAAAGGGUGCGCAGGCGGAAGAUCAAGUCAGCGGUAAAAUUGGGGGGCUCAACCUCUUCGAGCCGUUGAAACUGGUUUUCUUGAGUGAGCGAGAAGUAUGCGGAAUGCGUGGUGUAGCGGUGAAAUGCAUAGAUAUCACGCAGAACUCCGAUUGCGAAGGCAGCAUACCGGCGCCCAACUGACGCUCAGGCACGAAAGCGUGGGUAUCGAACAGGAUUAGAUACCCUCGUACA